rnacentral:rRNA from 1 species
UAUUGGAUCCAGACUUUGAUUAUGGCUCAGGAUGAACGCUAGCUACAGGCUUAACACAUGCAAGUCGAGGGGAAACGAUAGAGAAAGCUUGCUUUUUCUAGGCGUCGACCGGCGCACGGGUGAGUAACGCGUAUCCAACCUGCCCACCACUUGGGGAUAACCUUGCGAAAGUAAGACUAAUACCCGAUGAUAUCUCUGGAAGACAUCUGAAGGAGAUUAAAGAUUUAUCGGUGAUGGAUGGGGAUGCGUCUGAUUAGCUUGUUGGCGGGGUAAUGGCCCACCAAGGCGACGAUCAGUAGGGGUUCUGAGAGGAAGGUCCCCCACAUUGGAACUGAGACACGGUCCAAACUCCUACGGGAGGCAGCAGUGAGGAAUAUUGGUCAAUGGGCGAGAGCCUGAACCAGCCAAGUAGCGUGCAGGAUGACGGCCCUAUGGGUUGUAAACUGCUUUUAUAAGGGAAUAAAGUGAGCCUCGUGAGACUUUUUGCAUGUACCUUAUGAAUAAGGACCGGCUAAUUCCGUGCCAGCAGCCGCGGUAAUACGGAAGGUCCGGGCGUUAUCCGGAUUUAUUGGGUUUAAAGGGAGCGUAGGCCGGAGAUUAAGCGUGUUGUGAAAUGUAGACGCUCAACGUCUGCACUGCAGCACGAACUGGUUUCCUUGAGUACGCACAAAGUGGGCGGAAUUCGUGGUGUAGCGGUGAAAUGCUUAGAUAUCACGAAGAACUCCGAUUGCGAAGGCAGCUCACUGGAGCGCAACUGACGCUGAAGCUCGAAAGUGCGGGUAUCGAACAGGAUUAGAUACCCUGGUAGUCCGCACGGUAAACGAUGGAUGCCCGCUGUUGGUCUGAAUAGGUCAGCGGCCAAGCGAAAGCAUUAAGCAUCCCACCUGGGGAGUACGCCGGCAACGGUGCAACUCAAAGGAAUUGACGGA